rnacentral:rRNA from 1 species
GAUGAACGCUGGCGGCGUGCCUAAUACAUGCAAGUCGAGCGAACAGACGAGGAGCUUGCUCCUCUGACGUUAGCGGCGGACGGGUGAGUAACACGUGGAUAACCUACCUAUAAGACUGGGAUAACUUCGGGAAACCGGAGCUAAUACCGGAUAACAUGUUGAACCGCAUGGUUCAACAGUGAAAGACGGUCUUGCUGUCACUUAUAGAUGGAUCCGCGCCGCAUUAGCUAGUUGGUAAGGUAACGGCUUACCAAGGCAACGAUGCGUAGCCGACCUGAGAGGGUGAUCGGCCACACUGGAACUGAGACACGGUCCAGACUCCUACGGGAGGCAGCAGUAGGGAAUCUUCCGCAAUGGGCGAAAGCCUGACGGAGCAACGCCGCGUGAGUGAAGAAGGUCUUCGGAUCGUAAAACUCUGUUAUGAGGGAAGAACAAAUGUGUAAGUAACUAUGCACGUCUUGACGGUACCUAAUCAGAAAGCCACGGCUAACUACGUG